UAGUUCUUCAAACACCACCAAAGCAGGACUCGCUGUUUCCAUUCAGGGGUCAGGGAAGAUGGACGCAUGAGCCACAAAAUACGCAGGAGGUGUAGGUGUAAACGCGAAUCUCUCUGACCCUGAUGUCCGCUGCACCUGCUACCAGAAUACCCAGGUCUACAGUGGGCACCAAAGGCAGGAAGGGAGGGGAGUCUCAACAAGAAGAUGUGUGUGUCUAAUCUGGAUGCUGCCGUCUGUGCCUGGGCAGCACCAGAUGAAGCACCCAGUGCCCCAGCCUCCUGAAUUGGUGCUCGCCUCUUGGCUUCCAACAGCCCGCAACCACAGCAGAGGACCUGGCAGCUCCUUAAUCAAGAGAACGGAGCAAAAAUCCCAUUCUCUCCAGCUCCUGGCGGGUGUCUCAGAGUCAUUUAGGCCAGUGUUUCUCAACCUGUGGAUCACGACCCCUUUGUGGGUCAAGUGUCCCUUUCACAGGCCUAAGACCAUCCUGCAUAUCAGAUAUUUACAUUAUAAUUCAUAACAGUAGCAAAAUUACAGUUAUGAAAAGGCAACAAAAAAUUUUAUGUUGGGGGGUCACCAUCACGUGAGGAACUGUAUUAAAGGGCGGCAGCGACAGGAAGGUUGAGAACCACUGAAUUAGACAAUGUCACUGUGUUUAGGUCAUUAAUGAAUUCCUUAUGAGUGUGGUCGGGAAGCUCGUGAGUUUAGAAAUCAACAUAAUAACAUUUAGAUUCACCUUUCCCGUGUCUUACGGAAGGUCCCCAUGAGCAUACACCCCUGCUUCUGUGUGAACCGCAGUCUCCGACGCUUGUAGGACAUAUUGAAAUAACAAAUAGAAUGUGUGUGGGGAUGGACGGGGAGAGCCAUGCAGUUCACAGGAACAAUUAAAAGAGCUCGAUGAUGGACGGGCUGAAGUGAGGGGGUCUCCAUUUCCAGCAGGAGCAUCAAAGACCACAAGGGCAGGCCCACUCCUGCCCACACACCCUCUGGCCCUCUGGGACUUAGCAUCCCUGCAUCGGGUGGGAGAGGACCAGUCUAGACAAACUUGUUCAUGCCCAUUCUGCCCUUGAUGGUGAAUGCAGGAGGUUUUCGGGCUCCUUCCCCCCUCCUCCCCAGAGCUAGUCCAGUCUGCUCACCCAGCCCUGCCUCCUCCCCUCCCACUGUGUGUGCUUGGGAGGUCCCAGGAGACACUCAAGGAGCAAAGGCUGGUGGGCACCCAGCAUCUGCUGUGUGUUACCCUCUCUCUGGCUUUGGGCACUUUUUCUUCAUCCCCAGAGGCUCAGAAGAGAACUAGGCAGAUUAAGCCCUUCACCCACCAUCCCUGUAUCUACCACCUCCAUCCCACGAGGAAAAAAAAAAAGUAAAACAAAAACAAAAAAAAAAUCUUUUGUACAGAGAUAUAUUUUUAUUAUACAAAGUUUGUACAGUACCAAAAAAAGACAGGAAAAAAAGGUGUACAUUUUUUUUCAUUAUUGUAGGUAAAUGGUGUGGGAGCCUUUUUUGUAAAUGUAAUAAAAUGUAUAAAUAUGGUUUUCAGAAAGCAUCCCUGCUGUAAAUAUGUAAUCUACACCCCUUCUCGGCUUGUCUGCAGUCUGUGCAUUUAAUUUAUCUCUCCCUGUAUAUGAGGCUUCCCCUAGGGUUCUGCGUUAUGGGACUUUCCGGAAUUUGAAAGCAAUUUUAAAUUUUUUGAAUUCAAAUAAAAUAUAAAUUUUUGC
rnacentral:lncRNA from 1 species